CGCACAUCGCGCCCUUUGGCAUUCCGAGGGGCAUGCCUGUUCGAGCGUCAUUACACCACUCAAGCCUGGCUUGGUGUUGGGCGAGGAGGUCCCCUCCUGCCCCAAUUCUCUCGGCUGGACCGUCCGUAUCUCAGCGUUGUGGUAUUAAAUUCGCUGGCGAGAAGGACGGCUCGCGCCGUUAAACAUUUCUUAAGGUUGACCUCGGAUCAGGUAGGGAUACCCGCUGAACUUAA
rnacentral:misc_RNA from 1 species